GAUGAACGCUGGCGGCGUGCCUAAUACAUGCAAGUCGAGCGAACAGACGAGGAGCUUGCUCCUUUGACGUUAGCGGCGGACGGGUGAGUAACACGUGGGUAACCUACCUAUAAGACUGGGAUAACUUCGGGAAACCGGAGCUAAUACCGGAUAAUAUUUCGAACCGCAUGGUUCGAUAGUGAAAGAUGGCUUUGCUAUCACUUAUAGAUGGACCUGCGCCGUAUUAGCUAGUUGGUAAGGUAACGGCUUACCAAGGCAACGAUACGUAGCCGACCUGAGAGGGUGAUCGGCCACACUGGAACUGAGACACGGUGCAGACUCCUACGGGAGGCAGCAGUAGGGAAUCUUCCGCAAUGGGCGAAAGCCUGACGGAGCAACGCCGCGUGAGAGAUGAAGGUCUUCGGAUCGUAAAACUCUGUUAUUAGGGAAGAACAAACGUGUAAGUAACUGUGCACGUCUUGACGGUACCUAAUCAGAAAGCCACGGCUAACUACGUG
rnacentral:rRNA from 1 species